GUCUACAGCCAUACCACCAAUGCACCCGAUCUCCGGAGCUAAGCAGGGUCAGGCCUAGUUAGUACUUGGAUCAGAGAAAAGGUUGAACUUAAACAUAAUUAUAGGUAACAGUAAAAU
rnacentral:rRNA from 1 species